AAGGGAAGCGACCAUGUGAAUGCGAACAAAUCCCAAAAAUAACGUCUCAGUUCGGAUUGUAGUCUGCAACUCGACUACAUGAAGCUGGAAUCGCUAGUAAUCGCGAAUCAGAAUGUCGCGGUGAAUGCGUUCCCGGGUCUUGUACACACCGCCCGUCACACCAUGGGAGUCAGUAACGCCCGAAGCCGGUGACCCAACCAAACGGAGGGAGCCGUCGAAGGUGGGACCGAUAACUGGGGUGAAGUCGUAACAAGGUACC
rnacentral:rRNA from 1 species